UUUCCGUAGAUGAACCUGCGGAAGGAUCAUUAUUGUAUAACCGAGGUGCGAGGGCUGUCGCUGACCCGAAAGGUCGUGCACGCCCGAGUGCCCUCACACACAUCCAUCUCACCCCUAUGUGCACCACCGCGUGGGUCCCCCUUUGGCUUGUUCGGAGGGGGGCUUACGUUUUCACACAAACUUUGUAUGCAGUGUAGAAUGUAUUUUUUGUUUUUGCGAUCACGCAAUCAAUACAACUUUCAACAACGGAUCUCUUGGCUCUC
rnacentral:misc_RNA from 1 species